UACGUAGGGGGCAAGCGUUGUCCGGAAUCAUUGGGCGUAAAGCGCGUGUAGGCGGCCCGGUAAGUCCGCUGUGAAAGUCGGGGGCUCAACCCUCGGAUGCCGGUGGAUACUGUCGGGCUAGAGUGCGGGAGAGGCGAGUGGAAUUCCCAGUGUAGAGGUGAAAUUCGUAGAUAUUGGGAAGAACACCGGUGGCGAAGGCGGCUCUCUGGACCGAUACUGACGCUGAGGCGCGAAAGCGUGGGGAGCAAACAGG
rnacentral:rRNA from 1 species